GUGAUCUGUGGCAAUAAAUAAGAUUUGGCACGAGGCUAUUUCCACCUAACAUGCAUGCACAAUUGUUAGUAGACUAAUUCAAUUUACUAGAGAUGAUUUAUGAUGGGUUAAGUUAGACUAGGUCGUAUCUAGAAAAGAUAGAUGGGUAAGGUCAUAUCACUAUGGAGAAUUUUUUCUCUCUCUUCUUCGUUCUCUCUCUAGGAUCCUUCACGAAGAAUAGAUCGAGAUAAAGCUCCUUUGAUUGUCGCCGGUUCUUUUGGCGACUCUGCCUCUGGUAUAUUCGGUCAGUUCGACGAGUAUAGCCGGCUUUUGCUUCUGGUGGCUUGCGGUCUUUUCGACGGAGCUUUCCGGCUUUUGACUCCGCGUCGCGCUCUUCUCGAUGGCGACGACGGCUUUACUUCGGGGUUCUCCCGGUUCGUUGAUCGAUGCUUUCCGUUCUUCUGUGUCCAAUCGUCUCUCUUUCCUCAGCCUUGAUGUCAUCGCUUCCUCUCCUCGUCCCGAGCCGGUUCAUCUUCGCGCUUCUAUCUAUCAUUAAAUGUGACAGUUUUCUAGCAGGAAGAUCGAAGGUAGUGGGAUCGAUUGUAGCCGAUUAGUUCUUCUGGAAACAUAGAUCUGGUGUGCGGCUUGUACAACCGUGAAGAUGGUUCCUUAGUGAGCUGCUCUUCAUCGGUAAGGCUCUGCUUGACGGCGGAGUUUCGUCGAGUCUCCCCUCUUCACCGGUGGAAGGCGGUCCGCUCUCUCCUUGACGCGUGUUUCAGGACGCUGGACGUUCGUCCAUGUGGUGGGACGCCUGGAAGCCUUCCUCAACGGGUUUUCUCCUUUUGGGCUUACGGCCCAAGGAGUUUAUUAUGUUUGGGCCUGUAGUUUGGGCCUUUGUUUGUUUGUUAUGUUGGGCUUGGUCCAGUUUGUACUAUGACCCGUUUAAUAAAAUUCCAGUGGAAAAAAAAAGACUAGGUCCUAUUCCGUCUAAAACAUAAAAAGAAAAUUUUAUACUCGUAAUUUAUUAUACCACUUUUUAAUAUUUUAAAAUUUUAUAUAAUUUUUUUGUACGUUAUUUUUUUAGCAAGAAAUCUUAAUGCAUUAAAAAAUAAAGAGUUUAGAAGUUUAGAACUAGAUGGGUUGCUAGACAAGUCUUUGCAAGCCCAUUAGCCUGUCCAUUAUACAAAUGAGAAAUGAAAAAAAAAAAGACAAGAUAUGAAUGGAGAGUUUAAAGACGAAGAUAGAUUGGUAGAUAUAGAACUCCAUAGAGCUCCAUCGAUCGCCGGCGAGAAAAGAUAGCUCUGACGAGCUCUUAAGAGUCUGUGCAAAGACAUAUAUGUUGGUAGUUGAGUGAAGUCGUGUGGAGCAGUGCCUCUCUAAUGGCAAAAGCCUACCCCAUGCAAGAAGAGGAGACAAAUUGUUGGACGUAAGAUCCUCGAUUCAACUCCACAGAUGCCAGAUCAGUGAAAAUCCAAGCUAAUCCCGUCGAUUUGUGGUCGGUUCUCCAAGAGGCGUCGGUGUUGCAGUAGAUCUCAUGUUCGAUGAGGGCAUAUGGUUGUGGAGGAAAAGGAAUCAUAGGGCGUGGGGAAGAGUGAAACGAUUGGGCUGAUUCCCAUUCUUUGAGUGCUAAAAUUGCUUUAAGAAAAGUUUCAUGGGGGAUUGGGAUCGACUGUCAAAGAUGAGUUGGUUCCUUGAAUUACAUAGUGUCCAACAGAUCCAAGGGAAGGUGUUUCCAGUGAAGCCAUAUGGUGAGAGAGGAGUCAACGCUAGGGAUUCACAGAGAAUAUCAAAAAAACUCGAGGCUUGAAAGGCGUUUAACGGGGAGUUCCACGGACCUUGGCUCCACACAUCUUUGGCGAAUUGGCAAUGGAAGAGAAUGUGAGAGAUAGAUUCUUCUUCUCCGCAUCUAGGACAGUUUGUGUUGGAUAAAAUGCCUCUCAUGCGAAGGUUAUCGCCUGUUGGGAAAGCUUGGUUUCCCACUUUCCAAAGAAAGAACUUCUGUUUUGGUGAAAGGGGAGGAUUCCAAAUAAGUUGCUUCCAAUUUGUUGAGGGGCCAGAUGAAGGAGUCUCGAGCGCUUAGGACAAUUGGUCUUAGCGUCAUGAUCAUCGAGGAGAACUCAGGACCAAAAAGUUUGAUGUUAGCUUCAGGACAUAUCCAGAAAUCAGACCAAAGGGAAGUGGUCUCACCAUUACCCACUGCUUUACUCAAAUGGUUCAGUAGGAGGUCUCGGCCUAGCAGAAUACUUCUCUACCAAUGUGAGGUGGUCGUUGGAGUCUUGACUUUUAAAAAAGAGGUUUUGCUGUAGUAUUUUCCAGCAAAAUUUUAGCUAAAAGACUAUAUGGGUUCGUGAUUAGCCUCCAUGCUAUUUUUACCGUCUAAAACAUAAAAAAAAAAAUUAUACUCAUAAUUUAUUAUAUCAAUUUUUGAUAUUUUAAAAUUUUAUAUAAAUUUUUGUACCUAUAAUUAGUAUUUCUGAGUUUUAGCCCAAAAAUAAAACACAGGUUACGUA